rnacentral:rRNA from 1 species
UAGGGAAUCUUCGGCAAUGGACGGAAGUCUGACCGAGCAACGCCGCGUGAGUGAAGAAGGUUUUCGGAUCGUAAAGCUCUGUUGUUAGAGAAGAACGUUGGUAGGAGUGGAAAAUCUACCAAGUGACGGUAACUAACCAGAAAGGGACGGCUAACUACGUGCCAGCAGCCGCGGUAAUACGUAGGUCCCGAGCGUUGUCCGGAUUUAUUGGGCGUAAAGCGAGCGCAGGCGGUUCUUUAAGUCUGAAGUUAAAGGCAGUGGCUUAACCAUUGUACGCUUUGGAAACGGGAGGACUUGAGUGCAGAAGGGGAGAGUGGAAUUCCAUGUGUAACGGUGAAAUGCGUAGAUAUAUGGAGGAACACCGGUGGCGAAAGCGGCUCUCUGGUCUGUAACUGACGCUGAGGCUCGAAAGCGUGGGGAGCAAACAGG